rnacentral:rRNA from 1 species
UACGUAGGAUGCAAGCGUUUGUUCGGAAUUACUGGGCGUAAAGGGCGCGUAGGCGGCCUACUAAGUCAGACGUGAAAUCCCCCGGCUUAACCUGGGAACUGCGUCUGAUACUGGAAGGCUUGAGGAUGGGAGAGGGAUGUAGAAUUCCAGGUGUAGCGGUGAAAUGCGUAGAUAUCUGGAGGAACAUCGGUGGCGAAGGCGGCAUCCUGGACCGGUAUUGACGCUGAGGGCGCGAAAAGCCAGGGGGAGCAAAACGGGG